rnacentral:lncRNA from 1 species
AUUUCUCCAUGUUGGUCAGGCUGGUGGCGAACUCCCAGGUGUGCCUACCCUGGCACCGGUUCCCACGGAGCUUUCUGCCCUGGCUUCUGGUAGAAGUUCUAAAGAUGCCUGAAAGAGGAUAGUUUUGACUGAUAUGUUUGUUGGCCACGCGUGGGAAAAUGGUGUUAGUGAAAAGCACAUGAAUCCUGGUGCCAGCAGAAAGUGGGCAUGAAUUCUUCUUCCGUCAAUACCCAGCUUUGUGCCCCCAGCCUGAGCUGACCAGCGCUUAUCCUCAUGUGACCUUGGGUGAAUUAAUGGACAUCUCUGAACCUCCAUUUUCUCCUGUGUAAAAUAGCAGCUGCAGCAAAAAUGAAAUAUCAAUAAUCUCUGAAAAGAAUUUAGCUCAGUGUUUGGUGAAGAUUGCCUCUCCUGAAGUCUAGAAAAGGGCUGGUUUG